rnacentral:rRNA from 1 species
AUGCGGGUUCAGGUUGAUGUCAUGAUCGAGGGUGUCCCGUCCCAUGCGUGGGCUCAAGAGAUGGCGGCAGAGCUGCUUGGGAGUGCAUGUUUGAUCGAGAGCUUGGCACCGGAGAUGGCCAGCAGGGAAGACAUGUCGUUGUUCAAGUUGAGAGCUUGGUGUGUGGAUCCUGAGGAAGUGUCGGUGUUUCGGAGGCUGUGGGUGCCGGAGCCGCCAGAGGUGGCCCCUGACCCGGCAGCAAGGCGAGCGUCGUUCCGGCAGCUCCUGGAGUAUCCGGUGUUCAUUCACAUCGGCAGGCUGAGGGUUUUUUCGCCGCCAGAUGUGGAGACGUGCAUCGGGAUCUGA